GACGAACGCUGGCGGCGUGCUUAACACAUGCAAGUCGAACGGAAAGGCCCCUUCGGGGGUACUCGAGUGGCGAACGGGUGAGUAACACGUGAGUAACCUGCCCUUGACUUCGGGAUAACUUCAGGAAACUGGGGCUAAUACCGGAUAGGAAUCCUUGCUGCAUGGUGGGGGUUGGAAAGCUUCGGCGGUUUUGGAUGGACUCGCGGCUUAUCAGCUUGUUGGUGGGGUAGUGGCUUACCAAGGCUUUGACGGGUAGCCGGCCUGAGAGGGCGACCGGCCACAUUGGGACUGAGAUACGGCCCAGACUCCUACGGGAGGCAGCAGUGGGGAAUAUUGCACAAUGGGCGGAAGCCUGAUGCAGCAACGCCGCGUGCGGGAUGGCGGCCUUCGGGUUGUAAACCGCUUUCAGCAGGGGCGAAGCUUGUGGUGACGGUACCUGCAGAAGAAGCACCGGCUAACUACGUG
rnacentral:rRNA from 1 species